rnacentral:rRNA from 1 species
GACAGAGGUGCCAAGCGUUAGGCGGAAUCACUGGGCUUAAAGCGUGUGUAGGCGGAUCGUUAAGUACCUUGUGAAAUCCCACGGCUCAACCGUGGAACUGCUCGGUAUACUGGCGGUCUUGAGCCACCUAGGGGCAACUGGAACAAGCGGUGGAGCGGUGAAAUGCAUAGAGAUCCGGAGGAAUACCAGUGGCGCAAGCGGCGCUCUGGGUCGAGCCUGACACUGAGACGCGAAGGCAUGGGGAGCGAACGGG